CAUGAGGCAUCACUUAUCAGUUGGGGCUUCAUGAGCAAAGAAAUGAGGGAGGGAGUAUUAAUUUAAAGUUUCAUGUAAAGUAAUGGUUCGUGCUUUGGGUAUCAUUGUCAAGUACAUAACCAAGUGUUAAUGAGUUAGGGGUCCCUUUUCUGCUAUUGCUCCUUUCAUAUUCUUUUUAGAGAAACAAUUUCAUAAUUCAACUAGUCACUGUUUGAAGUAGAUAUGGAACCUAAAUGAUUGUCUUUAAGUUGGCUAAUGACAACACUAUUUGGUGCAUGGGCAAUUCAAUGCCAUGUUUCUACACUUGUUAGACAGUGAAACCAGCAGCCUGGAUGAGUUGUUGUCGGACCUAUUAGUGUAACUUAUGCAUUAUAUUUGGGUAAAGCUUAAUAGCUCUUCUCCCCCCCUCCAUCUUAAACUUAUAAACAUCAAUACUACGUUUGAUUGGGGAGAGAAGAGGAGGAAUCCGGUAUUUGGUGGAGUAGAAACUGUAAAUGAAGGCUAGAAUUUUUCAGAGCCUUCAAUUGUCGUCAUGGAUUAAUUCGGAUAAGGUAGUAAGGAAACCCGGUGGUUUCUUGCGUUUCUUUGUGAAAUGGAAUGAAAAACUGAGGCAUCGUACAGUCAUAUCCUACCAUUUACAGCCUAGAAAAGCUAAUAGACAAGUAGCAUUGAAGGUUUCAUGUUCUUCUCAUAAUGUUCAAGGACUUGAUGUAAUCUUUCUCAAGAGAAUCGGCCCAGGUAUAGAUAAUCAGUUGACGAGCCCUUAUAGUAGACGAGAUUGACAUUCAGCGAAGGAUCGGUAAGACUCUACCUCAUUCAGAGUGCAACCGAGUGUGCAAGUCAUCGUGUCAGAGUUUUCAGACUUAUGGGUAGGCCGGUACCCUGUCGUAUUUUAUGUCAAAUAAUCUUAGAGGCUUUAUAGACACUGGUUAGUAUGUACGGUAUGUUAAAGGCCUUGACAACCCAUAUGUAUUCAUGUUUUAUGAACGAUGAUUCGUUGAUAUAA